AAUAGAUACCCGGGUAGUCCACUCCGUAAACGUUGGGAACUAGUUGUGGGGUCCUUUCCACGGAUUCCGUGACGCAGCUAACGCAUUAAGUUCCCCGCCUGGGGAGUACGGCCGCAAGGCUAAACUCAAAGGAAUUGACGGGGACCCGCACAAGCGGCGGAGCAUGCGGAUUAAUUCGAUGCAACGCGAAGAACCUUACCAAGGCUUGACAUAUUCGAGGACACCCUAGAAAUAGGGGACUCUUUGGACACUCGUUUACAGGUGGUGCAUGGUUGUCGUCAGCUCGUGUCGUGAGAUGUUGGGUUAAGUCCCGCAACGAGCGCAACCCUCGUUCUAUGUUGCCAGCACGUUAUGGUGGGAACUCAUGGGAUACUGCCGGGGUCAACUCGGAGGAAGGUGGGGAUGACGUCAAAUCAUCAUGCCCCUUAUGUCUUGGGCUUCACGCAUGCUACAAUGGCCGGUACAAUGGGCUGCGAUACCGUGAGGUGGAGCGAAUCCCAAAAAGCCGGUCCCAGUUCGGAUUGUAGUCUGCAACUCGACUACA
rnacentral:rRNA from 1 species